GGCCGAUUAGCAGAGUGGUUAUGCAGCGGAUUGCAAAUCCGCGUACAUCGGUUCGAUUCCGGUAUCGGCCU
rnacentral:tRNA from 3 species